CUCGUUGGUGACCAGCGGAGGGAUCAUUAUUGAGUUACUGAACUCCAAACCACUGUGAACUUACCACUGUUGCUUCGGCUGUUUCUGUAGUCUAAGACUACAGAUCUAGCCGAAGGUAAAUUAAACUCUUGUUUCUAAUAGUAUCUUCUGAGUGGGUACGCAAAUAAAUUAAAACUUUCAACAACGGAUCUCUUGGUUCUGGCAUCGAUGAAGAACGCAGCGAAAUGCGAUAAGUAAUGUGAAUUGCAGAAUUCAGUGAAUCAUCGAAUCUUUGAACGCACAUUGCGCCCGCUAGUAUUCUGGCGGGCAUGCCUGUCCGAGCGUCAUUUCAACCCUCGAACUCUGUUCGGUGUUGGGGAACGACACUAGUCGUCCCUUAAAUAGAGUGGCGGUCUCGCUGUAGCUCCUCUGCGCAGUACUCUCACCUCGCAGUAAGAGAGCAGCGCGGCCACGCCGUAAAACUCCCCAAUUUCUUCAGGUUGACCUCGGAUCAGGUAGGAAUACCCGCUGAACUUAAGCAUAUCAAUAAGCGGAGGA
rnacentral:rRNA from 1 species